UACGGGGGGAGCAAGCGUUGUUCGGAUUUACUGGGCGUAAAGGGCGCGUAGGCGGCCACCGCAAGUCGGUUGUGAAAUCUCUGGGCUUAACCCAGAAAGGUCAACCGAUACUGCGGGGCUAGAGUGCAGAAGGGGCAACUGGAAUUCUCGGUGUAGCGGUGAAAUGCGUAGAUAUCGAGAGGAACACCUGCGGCGAAGGCGGGUUGCUGGGCUGACACUGACGCUGAGACGCGAAAGCGUGGGGAGCAAACAGG
rnacentral:rRNA from 1 species